GCCCCCUUCGUCUAGUGGCCCAGGACGUCGGGUUCUCAGCCCGAAAACAGGGGUUCGACUCCCCUAGGGGGUACUA
rnacentral:tRNA from 2 species